ACUGCAAGUCGAGCGGACAGAUGGAGCUUGCUCCCUGAUGUUAGCGGCGGACGGGUGAGUAACACGUGGGUAACCUGCCUGUAAGACUGGGAUAACUCCGGGAAACCGGGGCUAAUACCGGAUGGUUGUUUGAACCGCAUGGUUCAAACAUAAAAGGUGGCUUCGGCUACCACUUACAGAUGGACCCGCGGCGCAUUAGCUAGUUGGUGAGGUAACGGCUCACCAAGGCAACGAUGCGUAGCCGACCUGAGAGGGUGAUCGGCCACACUGGGACUGAGACACGGCCCAGACUCCUACGGGAGGCAGCAGUAGGGAAUCUUCCGCAAUGGACGAAAGUCUGACGGAGCAACGCCGCGUGAGUGAUGAAGGUUUUCGGAUCGUAAAGCUCUGUUGUUAGGGAAGAACAAGUACCGUUCGAAUAGGGCGGUACCUUGACGGUACCUAACCAGAAAGCCACGGCUAACUACGUGCCAGCAGCCGCGGUAAUACGUAGGUGGCAAGCGUUGUCCGGAAUUAUUGGGCGUAAAGGGCUCGCAGGCGGUUUCUUAAGACUGAAGUGAAAGCCCCCCGCUCAACCGGGGAGGGGCAAUGGAAACUUGGGAACUUUAUUGCAGAAGAGU
rnacentral:rRNA from 1 species